rnacentral:lncRNA from 1 species
UGGUCAAUGGAUCCACCAAUGAGCGUAUAUAGGAUGAUAGAUAUUGCUUGCUUACAUUGCACAUCACAAAAUUCUGUUCAUGGGCUCAAGCUUGAAGCCUUUUGGGCAGACUUGAGCCUGAUGCCGGUCGAAGCUUGCAUAAGGGCUGGCCUUGGGCAGGCCCAAAGGAUGGGCUAGACUUAGCUCAAGCUUAAGUAAUUUUGUUAACCUUCUUCGG